GUGAUAGUAAUAUUUGCACAUGAUAAGUGUCGAAAUUUCAGUUUUGUAUACAUAAAAUAGUAUUCUUCCCUAGAAAUUGUCACCAAAUGAUGAGCACAACCAUACCGUUCGUGCGCAGACAGCCCAACACAGAAUCCAUAUCUUCUAUGCUUCUUGACGACUUAAGUCGGCAUGCUCUCGGUCUCAUGAAUAAUAUGGACACGACUUCUUGUGGGAGGAAAGGAAUGUGACAUGAGAGCACAUAGAUUAGUAGAAGUGUAGAACAAUAAGACAAUAUAAAAUGGUGGGUGGGAAAACAAAUGCUGACCGGUCCGGUCCGGUCUCAU
rnacentral:lncRNA from 1 species